rnacentral:rRNA from 1 species
GAUGAACGCUGGCGGCAUGCCUAACACAUGCAAGUAGGACGGGAAGGGGUGUUUCUAGUGCUGUACGGGUGAGUAACGCGCAAGAACCUGCCCCUGGGAGGGGAACCACAAUUGGAAAGGGUUGCUAAUACACCGUAGGCCGAGUAGCACAUGGCGGAAUCUGCUCGAGGAGGGGCUCGCGUCUGAUUCGCUAGUUGGUGUGGUAAUGGAUUACCAAGUCGAUGAUCAGUAGGCGGACCGAGAGGGUGAUCAGCCACACGGGGCAUGGGACACGGCGCAGGACUGGAACGGAGGCAGCAGCAGGGCACCUACGGGAAUCGGCGGAAGGCAGUUUGCCGCAAGCCGCGUGAGUGUAGAAGGGCUUUGGCGCGUGAAGGUAGGUGGCACGCGAAUCAUGAGCUUCAGUGCGCAAAGAAGAAACAGUGACGGUAUCUGAGGAGUAAGAAACGGCUAACUCCGUG